rnacentral:rRNA from 1 species
UACGUAGGGGGCAAGCGUUGUCCGGAUUUAUUGGGCGUAAAGAGCGUGUAGGCGGCCAUACAGGUCCGUUGUGAAAACUGGAGGCUUAACCUCCAGACGUCGAUGGAAACCGUAUGGCUAGAGUCCGGAAGAGGAGAGUGGAAUUCCUGGUGUAGCGGUGAAAUGCGCAGAUAUCAGGAAGAACACCCGUGGCGAAGGCGGCUCUCUGGGACGUGACUGACGCUGAGACGCGAAAGCGUGGGGAGCGAACAGG